rnacentral:rRNA from 1 species
CUUUCGUGGUGAACCUGCGGAAGGAUCAUUA